CCAAACACCAAAGAAGAAAAGCAUGGAGGCGGACCACAGAGGUACCCCCACCCCAUUACUGCACCAGGACCAUGAUCCAAGUGGUGUUUGUUUACUUCUGAUGUUACCAAUCAGAACGGCGUCCACUACAACAGAGCCAUGUGACCACAGACACACAGAAACAGCUGUUUCCUGUUUGCAGGCGUAGCAGAAGUCUGGAUGGAGACCGACCAAUCAGACAGCACAGGAGGAGCUCCCGUUUCCGUGGCAACAUGAGCAGUGGCAGCGAAUCAGAGAGGAUGGCGAGUUCCAGUGAGCACCGCCGCUGCCGGACAAAGAGGCGGUCUGUGCUGUGUCUUUUUUUUCUCAUCUUCUUCCUGUCUAAAGAGGUUACCAUGGUGACCUGCAGCCCUGCCAGAUAAUGAGUUAAAAGUUUGUUAGAGAUGAACUGUUGGUUGAAGCGUCUGACUUCAGAAGACAAAGCUAAUGCUAAUGCUAAUGCUGUGUGUUUUUGUAGACCGAGUCCUGACGCCCAUAUAUGGAAACACAUCCAGAAGCAGCUGGUAGAACCCGAUCAUGUGAUUCACAGACAGAUGGAGGAAAUACCCUAUAAGGAAGUGAGAGUGUUGGGGGAGCCAAUCAGAGUGCGGCGUUCCCCCAGAGGCCGUCGACAUCAGCGGUGUGUGUCAGCCUCAGACCUCCAGUCAAAGCCUGAGCUGCUCCCUCCUCUUCCAGUUACCACGACAACGGACACUUUCUGUCGAUUACCCACAAGUCCCUGACACAGCCUCAUCCACUACCCACAAUUCACCUUCUUUUCAGGUCUCAGCUGUGAGUCCUGUCCUGUGGAGGUGGCUUGAUGAAGAGUACUGAUGAAGAGCACUGAUGAAGAGUACUGAUGAAGAGUACUGAUGAAGAGUACUGAUGAAGAGCACUGAUGAAGAGCACUGAUGAAGAGUACUGAUGAAUCAGAAUCAGAAAUCAGAAAUACUUUAUUGAUCCCCGGGGGGAAAUUGUUUUCGUUCCAGGUGCUCCAUGUAUACUCAAAAAGACAGAAAUACUAAUAAGGUAAAGUAGUGAGCGUAAAAAAUAAAAAUAAAAAAUAUAAGAUAAAAACCUAAUAA
rnacentral:lncRNA from 1 species